AUACGGAGGGUGCAAGCGUUACUCGGAAUCACUGGGCGUAAAGCGCGCGCAGGCGGCUAUUUAAGUUGGAUGUGGAAGCCUACGGCUCAACCGUAGAACUGCAUCCAAAACUAUUUAGCUAGAGUGUGGGAGAGGAAGAUGGAAUUAGUUGUGUAGGGGUAAAAUCCGUAGAGAUAACUAGGAAUACCAAAAGCGAAGGCAAUCUUCUGGAACACUACUGACGCUGAGGCGCGAAAGCGUGGGGAGCAAACAGGAUUAGAUACCCUAGUAGUCC
rnacentral:rRNA from 1 species